rnacentral:miRNA from 1 species
CGAGGGCGACCAGGGUCUGAGC